rfam:Hoeflea phototrophica DFL-43 chromosome, whole genome shotgun sequence.
UUGCCGAUUCCAAGCUGCCCGACAUGCAGGCCGGUUGGGAGCAGGCGACCUCAAACGUCAUGGCGGGGUUGAGUGGGCUCAACAUGGUCUAUGAGUCCG